GACGUAGGAUGCAAGCGUUGUCCGGAUUUAUUGGGCGUAAAGCGUACGUAGGCGGUCCCUUAAGUCGGGAGUUAAAGACUGCGGCUCAACCGCAGGAGUGCUCUCGAUACUGAGGGGCUGGAGGGUGGCAGAGGAAGUCGGAAUUCCCAGUGUAGCGGUGAAAUGCGUAGAUAUUGGGAGGAACACCAGUGGCGAAAGCGGACUUCUGGGCCAUUCCUGACGCUGAGGUACGAAAGCCAGGGGAGCAAACGGG
rnacentral:rRNA from 1 species